AGCAGUAGCCGCGGGAAUACGAAGGGGGCUAGCGUUGUUCGGAUUUACUGGGCGUAAAGGGCGCGUAGGCGGACUGAUAAGUCAGGGGUGAAAUCCCAAGGCUCAACCUUGGAACUGCCUUUGAUACUGUUUGUCUUGAGUUCGAGAGAGGUAAGUGGAACUGCGAGUGUAGAGGUGAAAUUCGUAGAUAUUCGCAAGAACACCAGUGGCGAAGGCGGCUUACUGGCUCGAUACUGACGCUGAGGCGCGAAAGCGUGGGGAGCAAACAGGAUUAGAUACCCCCGUAGUCCCUGUCUCUUAUAC
rnacentral:rRNA from 1 species